AGUGAACGCUGGCGGUAGGCCUAACACAUGCAGGUCGAACGGCAGCACAGUAAGAGCUUGCUCUUACGGGUGGCGAGUGGCGGACGGGUGAGGAAUACAUCGGAAUCUACUUUUUCGUGGGGGAUAACGUAGGGAAACUUACGCUAAUACCGCAUACGACCUACGGGUGAAAGCAGGGGAUCUUCGGACCUUGCGCGAUUGAAUGAGCCGAUGUCGGAUUAGCUAGUUGGCGGGGUAAAGGCCCACCAAGGCGACGAUCCGUAGCUGGUCUGAGAGGAUGAUCAGCCACACUGGAACUGAGACACGGUCCAGACUCCUACGGGAGGCAGCAGUAGGGAAUAUUGGACAAUGGGCGCAAGCCUGAUCCAGCCAUACCGCGUGGGUGAAGAAGGCCUUCGGGUUGUAAAGCCCUUUUGUUGGGAAAGAAAAGCAGCAGGUUAAUACCCCGCUGUUCUGACGGUACCCAAAGAAUAAGCACCGGCUAACUUCGUG
rnacentral:rRNA from 1 species